rnacentral:lncRNA from 1 species
CCCCCACCCUGGUGGUCUGACAGCCUUGGUCAGGCACGGGCAGCCCCCACCUGGCGGAUGUGUGGUGUGGGCAGCAGGGGCUGGGAGCGGACAUUGCAGGGCCCCUGACUCCGCCGUCCCCCUGCUGUCCCUCACCAGGUGGUAUCCUCUGCCGUCCCCGACCACCAACACAAGGGCACCCAGCCUCAGCAGCCCCAGGUGGGUGGGUAGCCUUCCAGCCAGCCCAGACUUCUCUCCGUCAUUUUGGAGGCCUGAGCAUUUCAGACCUUUUUACUGUGAAGGGAAGAAAAUGUUCUGAACCCUCCUGGGGGGCUCCCCAACAUUCCUCUGAUCUGAAAUUGGGAGUGGCAGGCCUGUCCUGUGUAAGUCUUGCCUGGGGUGAGCAAUGCUGGGCCCCCCUGCCCUGACACUCACCCACGGGGACCUGCCUGCUGAGAGAGGAUGUCGUUCUGUGCCCGUAGGUUCAGGAUGCAGAUGGCGAGGUCAGACCUGGAGCUGCCCCACGGUAGGAAGGGAUGGGUCUCACGUCUGCAUGCUUGUUUCUCCUGUUGGGGCAGAGGCCCUGGUGUGAGGCCUGCAUCACGGCCCCUGAGGCCCGAGCCCCACCAGGGAAGGGGUGUCUAGCCUCUCUUAGCCUUCCCCACGCCCCCUCUGUCCAGACGCCCAGGGCUUACUCCGUCCUGAGCCUGUCCUGCUCCACGAGGAAGAGCCCCGUGCCCCCUUCUCAUAGAACCAUCGCUCAAGCCUCAGUGGGUGGGUACCAGAGGGGAGUUGAGACUUCAGGUCGCCGUGCUCCAAGCAGCACCGAGGCUCAGAGCCAAGGUGCCCAAGGCGGGUGCUGGCUGGGCUGUGGGCUAACAUCAUUACUCCUCUGGCAUUGCCAGACUGGACCCUCACAGGUGGGGCCGUCCCAACUCGGAAGAGGGAGUAGUGCUCAAGCUUGCAUGGGGUGUAGGGACGUAGCGCAAUCCCCCCGAGGCCGUGCCACACUUCGGGCUCCUCUCAGGCUGUGUCGGUGGGAAACAAGCCCGAGUCAGGGAAGUCCUGAGAACGAGGGCUCCCCCCAUCCCCCAGGGCUGGAGACACAAGCUCCCACAGAACUGCCACCUCCUGUGGUUCCAGGAUGCCCCCUGAGGCAGAGACAGAGGUUGGCUCUGGACAGGUGGCGCAGGUCAUCUGUGAUGAGCAGAGGCCCUGUGUGGAGCAAGUUGGCAAACAGGUCCCUCCAGGGCCGCGGGUGGCACGGGGGCUGGACUCCAACCCUUCGGAGGACCCCUCGGGUGCUGGGGGAGUGGCCACGGUGGGCCCUGCAUCGUUGGUGA